AGAAAAAUGUCUAAAAUUGCACAAAGUUUGAAUGAAGAAGGAAAUUGCCUUAAAAGGCAGGAAGGUGAGAAGUGGCAUAAGUUUAAAAUGUAGUAUAAGAAGUCAAGUCGUGAUACUAGUAGUCAUGUCAGCAGUAGAAGUAGAUUGAGAAUAAAAGAAGUAUAAGUCAAAGUAGUAAAGAAAGUAGAAAUAGGAGCAAUAGCAGUUGAAGUAGAGGGGAAAGUUCUAGUUUAAUUGACAUUAGCAGUAGUUGUCGUACUUGAGGUAGGAUUUUGUUUGAAUGAUGGAGUAAUGCAUAAAUAUUAAAACUAAUUUAAAACAGGGAAAAUUUAAAUUAUCAAAAGUCCUCAAGUAUCAGAAAGUUUUGAAGUAUUAGAAAGGUUUGAAUCAGUUUGAAUGAGUUUAAAUUACUUUGAAAAAUUAAAUGAUAAAUCAUCACUGACUGAGUUUUAAAAUGUGAAAAAUUUAAAUGAAUAACAAUCCUAAAUACACCCAAUAAUGUCCUCAAUGAGCUUAAAUUUCAAAGCCCUGAAUGGUUUCUGUAGGUCAAAGGUCAUGUGAGGAGAUAGGGGCUGAAGUUUUUUCCAACGCUCUAGGAAAGGGUUUUAAGUGUCAUCCCAAUUGCUAUGUGUACUGAGCCUGGCUUCAUGUGUCUCAUAUGGCCACUAGAAGCAGCUUUCCAGUCAUCUGUGUGUCUCCAGGUGCACAAAUUGGUUGCCAUGGGGACCUUGGAUGCAUAACUAUAGCAGGAGAAAGAAGGCUUGAAGCUAAAGAAACAGGACUCCAAGUAGGCCCUGACGCUCACCCUCUGUAUAUAUUCAUAAGGAGCUUGUGAGAACACAAGAUUUUGCUGAACACAUUAAUACAAUUUAUUAUCACAAUCCUCAAAACACCCCAUAAUAUCUUCAAUGAGCUGAAUUUUUGAAGCCCAGAAUGGUUUCUGUAGCUCAAAGUUUGUGGGUGGAGAUAGGUGGUGAAGCAGACACAUAUUAUCUGUGUGUACAAGCAGGUGAACUGCAAGGUAGACCUGACAAUGCAACAAGUACAAGAAUGUGUGUGUGUGUGUGUGUGUGUGUGUGUGUGUGUGUCUCAUUAAUGACUGCAUCCCUAACAGCUGUGAGAUCAAAGGCAAAUCACUGACCUACUGUUUGAAUGACAAGCAGCUGAACAGCAGAGGAUUUGAAGCCUGUGAACUUCUUCACAUAGCGUGAUUUCCUUAAGUCCCAGAAUGAAAAUAAGAACAUCGUACGAAUCCUCCGUCCUUCAUGAACACAAUGAUGUGUUUUUCAUGUCUGUACUCCGAAAAAUGUGGCCACAACAGCGAGUUAAAAAAGUCUGAGCCUGAGUGACGAUAAGGAUUUUCUUGGAGAAGAAAUACAUUAGGGCCAAUGGGGAGAUAUUUGCGCCUAUCUGGACAGUUGGUCACCUGCUGGCCAAGGGGUACGAUUUAAUGAUUUGAAACCUCUUUUGUGAGAAGCAGGACACAUAUACCUCCAUUUUGAUGUAUUAUUUGUGUCAGUGGAGUGAGAUUUGUGGGCGUGGGAGCGAUAUAUUCGAGCGAGGUUCUGUCGAUCAGAGACGAGGUCUGCACUCUAGCUGAUGACAUCAUCACUCUAAACUCUCCAAUACACACCCAUUAUAAAGCUUGAAAUUUGCUGAAAACCACAAGUUGCUUAAAGCUAAAUUGUGGAAAAACUGUAAGAGAUAUCAAAAAACUGAGUACAACUAUAAUAGUCGACAAGUGAAUGAACAUUUUAAAGCAAAAAUGAGGUCUCUAGGUGAAAGUACGCUGAAGUUAUAAGGCUGAGAAGGUGGAGGAGUUAAAGGUAGAAUUUGAAGAUUUCCCCAUUCAUUUCAAUGGGAAAAUUUUUUGCACAAAAAGUCAAAAAUAUCAAAAAGUAUAAGGGGUAGAAAGAAAAAAAAUACACGCAAUAAUGUCCUGAAGGAGUGGAAUAGUUUAAAGUUUGAAUGGUUGAAAUCGGACAAAGUUUGAAGGAGGAGAAGCGGUCCAAAAAAGGGACGGAAGAAUAAUAAUAAGUUUAACUAGAAAAAUUGCAUUUCCUUGCAGAAAAUGCGUGGAAAUGCUGAGUGCUGAAAGCUGAAAAAGCAAUGCUAAACUGCUAAUAAAACAUGGAGAAAGGUAUAAAUAUUAAAGCUGUUGAAGGGGUGAGAAAGAAAUGUAAGUUGGAUAAUUGAUUAAUUGGUUGAAGGACAAAUAGUAUGAAUAUGCUCUAUAAAAGGAAAUUCUAUUCAUGCUGAAAGAGGCUAGAAAAAUGUCUAAAAUUGCACAAAGUUUGAAUGAAGAAGGAAAUUUCCUUAAAAGGCAGGAAGGUGAGAAGUGGCAUAAGUUUAAGUUGUAGUACUAGAAGUAGUAUAAGAGGUCAAGUCGUGAUACUAGUAGUCACGUCAGCAGUAGAAGUAGUUUGAGAGUAAAAGAAGUAUAAGUCAAAGUAGUAGAGAAAGUAGAAAUAGUAGCAAUAGCAGCAGUAGAGAAAGUAGAAAUAGGAGCAAUAGCAGUUGAAGUAGAGGGGAAAGUACUAGUUUAAUUGACAUUAGCAGUAGUUGUAAUACUUGAGGUAGGAUUUUG